rnacentral:lncRNA from 1 species
GCGAUAUACUGCCUUACGGCACGAUACGGUGCGAUACGGCACCUUUAUGUCGCGAUGCGUCGCGAUAUGUCACGAUAUAUCGCCAUGUGGCACCUUUAUGUCGCAAUAUAUCACGAUACGGUGCGAUAUGGCACCUUUAUGUCGCGAUAUACUGCUUUACGGCGCGAUACGGUGCAAUACGGCACCUUUAUGUCGCGAUGCGUCGCGAUACGUCGCGAUAUAUCGCCAUGUGGCACCUUUAUGUCGCGAUAUGUCGCGAUAUGUCGCCAUAGGGCACCUCAUGGCGCGAUAUACUGCGUUCUGUCACGAUAUGGUGCGAUAUGGCACCUUUAUGUCGCGAUAUGGCACCUCGUGUCGCGAUAUACUGCCUUACGGCGCGAUACGGUGCGAUACGGCACCUUUAUGUCGCGAUGCGUCGCGAUACGUCACGAUAUAUCGCCAUGUGGCACCUUUAUGUCGCAAUAUAUCACGAUACGGUGCGAUAUGGCACCUUUAUGUCGCGAUAUACUGCUUUACAGCGCGAUACGGUGCGAUACGGCACCUUUAUGUCGCGAUAUGUCGCGAUAUAUCGCCAUGUGGCACCUUUAUGUCGCGAUAUUCUGCUUUACGGCGCGAUACGACGCC